CCUGUUUGCAGACGCUGAGAUGGUGUCACAGCUUUCACAUUGCUUCAGCUAGAGGCAGAGGUAUGCCCAGGGUGAGGGCCCCACCUGGGCUGCAGAUGCCUCCAUGGCCCUCUGCAGUCUCUGGUGUGAUGGACUUAACAUGUGUAUCUCCCCUAAGCCCCCGUGUGAUGGUGUCUGGAGACCAGGCCUCCGCAGGGUACCAAGAAAGGCCACCCAAGGCCUUAGGGAGAAGGCAGCUAUCUGUGCUCCAGAAGGAGGCCUCACCAGGAAUGGAACGUGGCUGAACCUUGAGUUCCACUGGAUCAGGGCCCACCUUGCUCCAGCAGGACCUGCUCUUAACUGAUGACACCUGCAAUGACCCUACUUCCAAAGAAGGCCACAUUCCCCAGGCGCUGUGGGUUAGGACUUUAACAUCUUUUGCAGGGGACGUAAGUCAAAAGCCUCCCUGGGGCAGCACCCCCGGAGGCCCCGGAACAGGCGCUCCUGGGCCUCUCCCCUUGUGGCUGCUUUUGUCCCCAGGGUUACUGGCAUUUCCUCCUAGUUCUCCCUGGGACAUAGCAGAGGAAAAAGUCCCCAGCAGGGAAUGGAG
rnacentral:lncRNA from 1 species